CGGGGCGUGGCGCAGCCUGGUAGCGCGCUUGCCUUGGGCGCAAGAGGUCCCCGGUUCGAAUCCGGGCGCCCCGACCA
rnacentral:tRNA from 1 species